GGUCGUGUGGCUCAGUCGGUAGAGCAUCAUGCUAAAAACGUGAAGGUUGUGAGUUCGAGUCUCACCUCAUGACCA